AUUGAACGCUGGCGGCAUGCCUUACACAUGCAAGUCGAACGGUAACAGGUCUUCGGAUGCUGACGAGUGGCGAACGGGUGAGUAAUACAUCGGAACGUGCCUAGUAGUGGGGGAUAACUACUCGAAAGAGUGGCUAAUACCGCAUGAGAUCUACGGAUGAAAGCAGGGGAUCGCAAGACCUUGUGCUACUAGAGCGGCCGAUGGCAGAUUAGGUAGUUGGUGGGAUAAAAGCUUACCAAGCCGACGAUCUGUAGCUGGUCUGAGAGGACGAUCAGCCACACUGGGGCUGAGAAACGGCCCAGACUCCUACGGGAGGCAGCAGUGGGGAAUUUUGGACAAUGGGCGCAAGCCUGACCCAGUAAUGCCGCGUGCAGGAUGAAGGCCUUCGGGUUGUAAACUGCUUUUGUACGGAACGAAAAGCCCCGGGUUAAUACCCUGGGGUCAUGACGGUACCGUAAGAAUAAGCACCGGCUAACUACGUGCCAGCAGCCGCUGUAA
rnacentral:rRNA from 1 species